CCCCUAAUCCUAACCCUGACCUUAAGUUCAACCGAGCACCUAACCCUCUCCCUGACCCUAAUCCUAACCCUGACCUUAAGUUCAACCCAACACCUAACCCUUUCCCUGACCCUAAUCCUAACCCUGACCUUAAGUUCAACCCAACACCUAACCCUCUCCCUGACCCUAAUCCUAACCCUGACCUUAAGUUCAACCCAACACCUAACCCUCUCCCUGACCCUAAUCCUAACCCUGACCUUAAAUUCAACCCAACCACCUAACCCUCUCCCUGACCCUAAUCCUAACCCUGACCUUAAAUUCAACCCAACACCUAACCCUCUCCCUGACCCUAAUCCUAACCCUGACCUUAAGUUCAACCCAGCACCUAACCCUCUCCCUGACCCUAAUCCUAACCCUGACCUUAAGUUCAACCCAACACCUAACCCUCUCCCUGACCCUAAUCCUAACCCUGACCUUAAGUUCAACCCAACACCUAACCCUCUCCCUGACCCUAAUCCUAACCCUGACCUUAAAUUCAACCCAACACCUAACCCUCUCCCUGACCCUAAUCCUAACCCUGACCUUAAAUUCAACCCAACACCUAACCCUCUCGCUGACCCUAAUCCUAACCCUGACCUUAAAUUCAACCCAACACCUAACCCUCUCCCUGACCCUAAUCCUAACCCUGACCUUAAGUUCAACCCAACACCUAACCCUCUCCCUGACCCUAAUCCUAACCCUGACCUUAAGUUCAACCCAACACCUAACCCUCUCCCUGACCCUAAUCCUAACCCUGACCUUAAAUUCAACCCAGCACCUAACCCUCUCCCUGACCCUAAUCCUAACCCUGACCUUAAGUUCAACCCAACACCUAACCCUCUCCCUGACCCUAAUCCUAACCCUGACCUUAAGUUCAACCCAGCACCUAACCCUCUCCCUGACCCUAAUCCUAACCCUGACCUUAAAUUCAACCCAACACCUAACCCUCUCCCUGACCCUAAUCCUAACCCUGACCUUAAGUUCAACCCAACACCUAACCCUCUCCCUGACCCUAAUCCUAACCCUGACCUUAAGUUCAACCCAGCACCUAACCCUCACCCUGACCCUAAUCCUAACCCUGACCUUAAGUUCAACCCAACACCUAACCCUCUCCCUGACCCUAAUCAUAACCCUGACCUUAAGUUCAACCCAACACCUAACCCUCUCCCUGACCCUAAUCCAAACCUGACCUUAAAUUCAACCCAACACCUAACCCUCUCCCUGACCCUAAUCCUAACCCUGACCUUAAGUUCAACCCAACCCCUAACCCUCUCCCUGACCCUAAUCCUAACCCUGACCUUAAGUUCAACCCAACCCCUAACCCUCACCCUGACCCUAAUCCUAGCCUUAACCUCAACCCAAAACCUAAUCCUCACAUUCACCCUGGCCCCAAUCAUAACCCUAAUCUUAACCUCAACCCAAAACCUAAUCCUCAUCCUGGCCCUCAUAUGUUUGUGA
ensembl:lncRNA